rnacentral:lncRNA from 1 species
AAUGGCUGAUGUAUUGAGAAUAACUUUCUGGUCAUGAUGGUCUUCAUGCAUUUUAUGUAUCAACUAUCUAAUCAAAAUCAUAAUCAUAAGUUUGGUUCUGCUUAAAGUUUAGAGACAGUGAGUGUGUUGAGAAAUGACCAUGACAUUUUCUGGUCAGUCCAUAUGAGAGUAACAGAAGCAACCAAUAGGCAAUGAAUAUCUUUCUGCAGUUCAUAGAUAUAUAAAUAUAUAUUAUAUGGAUAUAUUAUAGAUACUGACAUUAUUUUGUGUUAUUGUGUGUGUGCACAGAGCACAUGUGUGUACAUAUUUGGAGGCUAGAAAAAAAAUUGGCUGUUAUUACUUAGCUAAUACCAUCCUUGUUAGGCGCUCUCUCUCUCUCUCUCUCUCUCUCUCUCUGUAUGUGUUUGUAUAUAUGUGCGCAUGGACCUAUGCAUGUAUAUAUAUAUGGAUGUGUGUGCAAUGGUGUACGUAUAUCAUGAGCUUGUUUGUAGAAGCUAGAGGAGGAUGUUAGAUAACUUUCUUAUCAACUCUCUCAAUCUCUCAAGACAGGGUCUCUUUCUGACUUGAAACUUGCCAGGUUUUCGCUAAAUUGGAUGGCCAGUGAAUUACCUUAAUACACAGAGUGAUCUUCCUGUCUGUAACUACAUUGUUGGGGUUAGAGGUACCCUGUGGCCAUUUUGGACUUGUACUUGGUUUUUCACUUAUGUUCUUCAUUCUUGCACAGCAAGCACUCUUACUGAGCCACCUCCACAGACACCCAUCUUCAGAGUCUAAUUACUGCCCUGGGGAUUGCUGAUUAGAUUAGGCUCCUGUGUUCCUGAGCCUCAGGGAUUCUGCUGGUUCUGUCUCCCAGUGGUGGGACUGCAAGUGCAGAUUUCAGAAUGUAUAUAUGUAGGUUCUGAGAAUUGAACUCAGUUUCUCAUUCUUUGAAAAUUCAGUUUCCCAUGUGAAUUUAAGCUUUUUUAUUUUCCAGUAAGGCACACUCUGUUUGACUUCUUUCUAAUUUCUUACACUUUAUAUGAUAACCAUUACUAACUUGAGGCAUACAGAGUAAAUAGCUUCCUAUUCUGCUAAUUAAAAAAAACUACUUUGAAUUUUUCUUCCUAAUUAGGAGAGAAUAGUGGCAUUUUUCCUGUAGCUAUCAUUCUUAAAAGGGUGUGGUUCCAUGGAGGAACUCAAGGCUCCAAUUGCAUAUGUAGUAGAGGAUGGCCUUGUGGGAUCUCAAUGAGAGGAGAGGCCCUUGGUCCUGUGAAGGCUAGAUGCCCCAGUGUAGGGGAAUACCAGGACAUGGAAGCAGGUGUGGGUGGGUUAGUGAUCAUGGGAGAGGGAUGCGAUAGGGGGAUGGGAUAUAUGUAUGCAUGCAUGUGCGUGUGCAUGUGUAUGUGUGUUUUGAAAAAAAGGAUAUAGUUCUUGCAAAGUAUAGUAACUUUUGAUCAUUUUAUUUAAGAGAACUUGUUGAAUUAUACCCAUUCAUCUUUCUUUUGUCUAUUUUGCUACUUAGCUCCUAUCUGCUUUCUAUUAAAUUGUUACAGAGUGUGAGGAAUCAUGGAGUAAUGUUUUUACAUACUAAGCAUUAUUGAUGGCCAAGUUCCUAAGAGAUGAAAGCCAUUGGCUAAACCUUAACCUCACAAUUAAUUGUAUAUAUACAUCUGUUUACUGAUUUCAGUUCCUGUUUAUCAGAGAUGGGUUGUAAGUUGUUUUCUUCUUGGCCAGAAAAGAUGUUAUGCACUCAACCACAUGAUCUUAUACUGAGAUCAUAACAACAUAUGAAUUCAAAGGCCAGUAAGAAGGUGAAGAAGGUAAAGGUGCUUGUCAUCACGCUGAAAGACCUGAGUUCUAGCUGGGUCCUACCUGCUGGAAGGACCAAACCAGGGAUGCAAGUCAUUUUCUGCCUUUCACAGAUUUGUAUCUUGCAACACACAACUCCCCAAUUAAAUAUAAAAGGUCUAAACAUAAUAAAGUUACAAAAGGAAAUUGAAGAGCUUAAAUGAGGGUGCCGUGGUCUCCUAGGCAAUAGAGAGUAGAUGAAUAGCCUGGUGGAUAGGUGGCUAGGAUAGGGAACAGAGGUCACUUAUGAUAAUCUAGAAAGUAUAGGAUAAAGAAAAGUGAAGAAAAGAAAUGCUCUGGGAGUUUUCACAGCUAAGGGUUAAUUAGGGUGAUCCAAUGUUGUUCUGGACUCUUGCUUGUCACAUCUUUCUCACUUACCCAUAUCCUGACAUACAUUAUUUAGAUUUUAUAUCGUCGUGUGUCUUAUACUGAGAUCAUAACAAGUUGACUCAGCUCACCCAAAAAGUCAGGGUCGAUUUGAUUACAUGGAUGUAAGUCAGAAUGUUAAUUGCAAAGACAAGGAGAUAAAAGACUUUAUGAAUGUGUAAUCAACCUGGGCAUCCUGACCUGGGACCUAAGGAGCAGUUGAAGGGAGACGUGCUAAGUACAAGGAGUGAUGUGAAGGAGACACUGAGGGAGGAUUCUUCACUAAUUGCACAAAGUAUUGGGAAGCAAUCCUUUCUAGCUACAAGGUUUGAAUGCUGCACGUAAACAUAAAUUGUUAUUUUCUUGAUUACUAGAAUCAGUCUCCACACUUAUUCUCUGAAAGAUGUUGGUCAGGUCACAUUUCCAAGAUGUGUCUAACAACAGUGACGAGAAUGAAAUGAUUAAGGAAGAGCAUUCGCAGGGACAGAGUUAAGCUGUUGUAACAGAGGGAAGACAUCAGCCACCUGAAUUUUUAUUUAACACAAUAAAGGGAAAGUCGGUAGCAUUUAAUUGAUCAAUUUAAGAAUCUGAGCUAAUUAAUGUCCUCCAGCUAAUUUUCUACACCCACAAAACAAAACAUUUAAAAACACUGUCUACAUACAGUGGCUAACCAAAAUUCAGAAAGAAAUAAAAUAAAAUUGUAUAAAUGAUAUGAUAUAUUUGUUAAAGUCUCAUUACCUUUUCAUGGUAAGCAAAGCAUAGGCUCUUUUGGUCCAUAAG